AGUGAACGCUGGCGGUAGGCCUAACACAUGCAAGUCGAACGGCAGCACAGUAAGAGCUUGCUCUUACGGGUGGCGAGUGGCGGACGGGUGAGGAAUACAUCGGAAUCUACUUUUUCGUGGGGGAUAACGUAGGGAAACUUACGCUAAUACCGCAUACGACCUACGGGUGAAAGCAGGGGAUCUUCGGACCUUGCGCGAUUGAAUGAGCCGAUGUCGGAUUAGCUAGUUGGCGGGGUAAAGGCCCACCAAGGCGACGAUCCGUAGCUGGUCUGAGAGGAUGAUCAGCCACACUGGAACUGAGACACGGUCCAGACUCCUACGGGAGGCAGCAGUGGGGAAUAUUGGACAAUGGGCGCAAGCCUGACCCAGCCAUACCGCGUGGGUGAAGAAGGCCUUCGGGUUGUAAAGCCCUUUUGUUGGGAAAGAAAAGCAGCAGGUUAAUACCCCGCUGUUCUGACGGUACCCAAAGAAUAAGCACCGGCUAACUUCGU
rnacentral:rRNA from 1 species